UGGGGAAUAUUGCACAAUGGGCGAAAGCCUGAUGCAGCGACGCCGCGUGAGGGAUGACGGCCUUCGGGUUGUAAACCUCUUUCAGCAGGGAAGAAGCGAAAGUGACGGUACCUGCAGAAGAAGCGCCGGCUAACUACGUGCCAGCAGCCGCGGUAAUACGUAGGGCGCAAGCGUUGUCCGGAAUUAUUGGGCGUAAAGAGCUCGUAGGCGGUUAGUCGCGUCUGCUGUGAAAACUCGAGGCUCAACCUCGGGCUUGCAGUGGGUACGGGCUGACUAGAGUGCGGUAGGGGGUGACUGGAAUUCCNUGGUGUAGCGGUGGAAUGCGCAGAUAUCAGGAGGAACACCGAUGGCGAAGGCAGGUCACUGGGCCGCAACUGACGCUGAGGAGCGAAAGCAUGGGGAGCGAACAGGAUUAGAUACCCUGGUAGUCCAUGCCGUAAACGUUGGGCACUAGGUGUGGGGUCCAUUCCACGGAUUCCGUGCCGCAGCAAAACGCAUUAAGUGCCCCGCCUGGGGAGUACGGCCGCAAGGCUAAAACUUAAAUGAAUUGACGGGGUCAUAGCUGUUU
rnacentral:rRNA from 1 species